rnacentral:rRNA from 1 species
UACGUAGGGUGCGAGCGUUAAUCGGAAUUACUGGGCGUAAAGCGUGCGCAGGCGGUUUUGUAAGUCAGAUGUGAAAUCCCCGGGCUUAACCUGGGAACUGCGUUUGAAACUGGAAGGCUAGUGUGUGGCAGAGGGGGGUGGAAUUCCACGUGUAGCAGUGAAAUGCGUAGAGAUGUGGAGGAACACCGAUGGCGAAGGCAGCCCCCUGGGCUAACACUGACGCUCAUGCACGAAAGCGUGGGGAGCAAACAGG